AACUCAAAUUGAAGGUCCUAAUCAUGUUGUGGUAAAGAAGGGGCAGCAUACUGCAGAGGAAGACUGCCAGUAACCUGUAAAGUGCUGUGCAAUAAAAGGGAACAUCAAUUAGGACGUGAGGGAAGUGCUUGGAAGUUAGAGAUGGAGAAGAGGUUGAAGAAGAGCCAAGGGUAAUCAGUCUGAAAUCCAUUCUUUAAGUUACAAUGAUUAUGGAUAGUUGGUUUUCUUCUCCUGUACAGUCAAAAUUCUCACAUUCCUAGACCGGAUCUUCCAUUUAACAUUACUAUCAUGGCCGGGCUCUAAAUGCCUUUCAAAAGACACAGUUAUACCUUUGUGUUUGCAUUCAUGUUUCUCUGGUCAUCUUGUUCUUUUAAACUUGUCCAACCUUUGAUGACUGCUCAACAUUCAAAACGAAACCAUUCCUUUCCUUUUAUAGAGCCUUUAUCAAACCUGAAACAGGGUUAAGACUUCCUCAAGGUGUGGGAACUUCAAGGUGUGGGAACAAGGUUAAGAUUUCCUCUUCUAUGUCUGACUUUACAGUAGCACUCAUUUUGAUGUUCUGUAAUUAUUUUAAAAAAACAUUCAUUAAUAUGUCUGUAUUUUUUAUGUGUAUGAGUGUAUUGCCUGCAUGUAUGUGAAUGCACCCAUGUUGUGCAAUGCAGAGGAGGUCAGCAGAGGGUUUCGGAUUCCCCUGGAACUGGAGUUAAGGAUGGUUCGUAGCUGCCAUGUGGAUGCUGAACCAUCUCUCCAGCCCCUACGUCUAUCUUUUUAAUUACUUUGUGAGUGUCAUAAAUACAUGGGCCAUUUCCCUUACAACUAUUUAUACUGCUGAUUUGCUCCAUCUAGAAGAUACUUAAAAAUGUUUGAUGAUUCACUGAACUUCUGAUAAACCUAGUGCUCUGGGGAUAAGCUGCAGUGUGGUCGUUGGCAUGAAGAAUUUCUAAACUGAGAGAACACUGAACUUCCUCAGUUGUUGAGGUCUGAAAAUGCACACAAUGCAUGUUGUAGGAGUCACAAAACAUAUGCCACUUAAAGUUAGCAUAUGCUAUUUUAGAAAAAAAGUCUCCUCCCUUAUCUAUACUUAAACAAACUAGGUAAUUCUUCACCUUUUAUGCACUAAAGCCCUCCCUUUUCACUUUAAAGCACAUCAGGGAUGAAGAUAUAUGGUGCUAGAUGCUAGAGUUACCCAGGAUAUAGUGAAACAGUAUCAUAAGGAACAAAUGCUUUCAGAAGAACUGGAGCCAGUGGGGAUAAUGGGCAAAUAUGAAGGGCUAUUCUCAUCAUUAUACAGGCUGUGUAACCAAGCUGAAAUGGGAGUUACUUAUUCCUUUUGUUGAAAAAAGAAUGUGAGGGAAAUGGAAACCGAAACUAACCGGUUUCCUAUAAACGCAGAAAUGAGUAUCCAGAUGGUGGAGAAACACCUUUUGCAACCACCACCUUCCAGAAAGACAAAUGAUGAGUUUUGAGAAGCUGAAAAGCAAUGUCUGCUUAUGUCUUCUGCGGAAAUGCUUUGAGAUGUGCUUUCUUUCUUGAAUCUCUCAUUCUGCUGUAAAUCUGCAUCCCUCACAAGGAUUCUCACCCUUCAUAGAUCUAAAGAUGUGGCAUUGUUUAUAUUUGUGCAUGUGGGUGGGGUAUGUGUGCAUGUGUUCAUGUGUAUUAUGAGUUAAUAAAAUAGUGAUUUCUUUUAGAUACUUGGGGAAGAUGUUAUAGACCAAUGUAAUUCUAAAACUUACAUCAUUAUCAUCAUGAUCAUCAUCUUCAUGUUUGGUCAUUGGUUUUUUUCAAAGUAAAACUUUAUCUCUAAUAUGGAAACCAUUUCAGGAAAUAUGACACUAUACUAUAUUUCUUUUUGGAGGAAGUAGAUGGUAAAAUUUUCUUCACACAGACAUAACAACUAUCAAACACAAUCUUCAACAGAAGAAUCCUUCACCUUUUGGCAAAGUUGUAGGAGCAGAAAACACAAAAGUGGCCAAAGUGCUUAGGAAGAAUGUAUAUUGUCAAGGGAAUCAGAAGGCUAGAUGCAAAUCCUUAUUGAGGCAGUUACUGCGGGUGUAUUCAUGAGCAUGCCACUCACCUUUGAGCUUAUUCCUAAACCAAGGAGUCUGAGGAGCUAAUAGCUAUGACUACUUAUUGUUCUAUGAUUAUGUGACCAUAUUUUCUCCCAGCCCCACCUGUUAUUGGCCAGCUUCCAUUAGCUUUAGUUUAUUGAGAAGGAAAGAAGCCACAUGGGUAAUAUUGCAGUGCCGCUACGUCUCCCCACCCCUGUCUGAGAAACAAAAGAGCCACAAAGAAUUAAGCAUAAAGAGGGAAGAAAUCUUAACCGAAGAAAUAUCUUCUUUAUCUACGUCCAUUUCCUCCCACAAGGAAAAAUGGCAGUGUCAGUGGUACAUUACAAUCUCUCUCUCUUAUUAGUCUUUAAUCUUAGCACCUGCACAGCAGAGAUCUUUACAAUUCAUUGCAUAUGCUCUCCCCUUUCCCCCCUCCUCACAGCACCUGAGGCCUAAGAAGCCACCAGCUCAAAGCUCCACAAAAGGCUGAGACCCUUCCUCAAGACAUAGUGUAGAAGUAACAGACAUGCCCCACGGUUUUAUACAGUUGCUAGAACACUUAAGUUUCCAACAAAUGAAGAUUUUCCUCCUUUCCUUUGAAUACUAAUUACAUUUUACAAAUUUUUUGUUUCGUUUGUUUUGCUUUGUUUUGUUCUGUUGUGUUUUUACAACAAAAGGGGAAGUCCAUGGCGAAGGGUCCCGGGUUAGCAGAGUUUGGCUGUCAU